rnacentral:tRNA from 1 species
GGAAAGGUGUCCGAAUCAGGUAAGGGGACAGAUUGCUAAUCUGUUUAAGGGCUCAUAGCCUGUGCGGGUUCAAGUCCCGUCCUUUCCGCCA